rnacentral:rRNA from 1 species
UACGUAGGCGGAAAAUUAAGUCAGUAGUGAAAUCCCGCAGCUUAACUGUGGAACUGUUAUUGAUACUGGUUUUCUUGAAUAUAGUUGAGGUAGGCGGAAUGUGUAAUGUAGCGGUGAAAUGCUUAGAUAUUACACAGAACACCGAUUGCGAAGGCAGCUUACUAAGCUAUGAUUGACGCUGAGGUACGAAAGCGUGGGGAGCAAACAGGAUUAGAUACCCUGGUAGUCC